GAUAAAAAAGGGAGUUCUGUGAGGUUGGUUGUGACGGAUCGGCUCAGGGUGCUGCUGGGUGAGAGCUUCCGAGGGGGAAUGAAAGAAAUAGAGAUGUACAUCAACUUUGGAGGCCCUUCCACCUCCAUCCAAAGGCUGUGCCCAGCCACCCUGCCCUGCCCUUACCCGGACAGGAUAAUUAAAAAGCAGAUAUCGAAACCUUUCUUGCUUGUGGGCUCACGGAAGAAGUUGGGCAGUUCUUUGGUUCUUCUUCCUUUUUUCCCCACACCGUCCCACCCCACCCCAUCAGAAGUUCUCCCAAAUCAGUUCUAACGGAUUCUCAGCGUUCAGGUUGACGGUGCGGCUGCACAUCCUCGAACUGAUCGGGAUGUGCGGAGGGGAUCUGAGUGUCACAGAGCAUUUUUGGGCGGCGGGAAAAGCCCCGGGACGCUGCGAAACUUUGACGAUUUGUUUCACAUCUUUGGAGAAACGGUGCUUUAAGCAACGUACAAUUAAAACUAUGUCGCUCUUGGGAUAAAUCCGAGAAUCUCCAAUAGGAAUCGGUUUCGAUCCUGGGAUACUUGUUGCUAAAGCUGAUCUAUAUCACAAAACCGGAGAGGAGAAGCAGGCAGCCAGGGGCAGCUCUGCUCCAGCUGUAAUUUUUCAGCCCCGCUCCCCUGACCAGACAGGCUGUGCAGUCUCUUCUCCGAUUUCCCAGUUGGCAUUUAUUCUCGUCGGAACAUCCCAGCCCCUCAGAAUCCCUUUCUCUCCCUUUUUUUUUUGUGCCUUCCCCGUUUGUUCCUUUUCGGGCUAUAGGGGCCGUUUCGCGGUUUGAUUCCCCCCCCCACACACACACCCCACACUUCCCCGUUUGAUUCUUCCCGAAGUCGUUUUCUCUAUAACGGUGAAUAUUUCUGCUGGUCAGAUAUUGGAGUUCAAACUUUACCCCACAACCUGCAGGCGACCCUGCCCUCCUCCCGUCCUCCUGUCAGGAGAGUCCAAAUUGUGACAGCGGCUUCUCCAGCCGCUCCCUAACCUUCAUCACGGACUGUUCGCUCACGUUAAGUCCCAUCUCCCCACACUCUAUUACGCUUUUCUGAGCCCCUGCCACACCGCGGGGUCGGCCGCCGCUCACGUACGAGGGCUCAGGGAUCGCUGCUGUGCGUGACAGCUUUAUUUUUCGGGAUGAGAAAACUCGUCCCUUGUUGUGGAUGCAACGGAACCCACCGGCAGCUUUUCCUGCCUCCAUAAUCUAAUCUCAGCCAACAAGUUUCUGCCUUUACUCCUGCAACAUUACUAAUUAACGACCCUUGGGAAUUAAGCGCACAGUGACCUAAAAUUUCCUGCUCUCGCUGAUAGUUGCGCUUUGCCUAAAAACAAACAAAAAAACCCCAAAAAACAAAAACAAACAAACAAAAAAAAAACCCGGAAAAUAAUAAUAAUAAAAAAUAACGGUGAUAAUGAAACCUCCGGGAGAAGCACAGAUGAGCUGACUUAAAGGAAAAACUUUAAAAGCAUUAAAAGGGGCAUCGGACAUCCUAGCGGGUUUUACACCAACUCUGAAUUGAGCUUAAAGGAGCGAAUGGAAGGGCUGCACCCAGUAAACUUCGCUGGACGUUGCUCAGCUCCGACUCCAUCUCUCCCUCCCUGCAGCCAGCGGCAGCUCGGACAAUAGGAGGAGGUCAGAGCCCGUCCCUCUGCCUGUGUUGUCUGCAGGAACUCGGGCAGAGCGCUGCUACCUUCCUCGGCUGCCUAACAGCGAUUCGUUUUGUGAUGCUCCACGCCUGAUAGCCACCCCCUCCCCGCUCGGAUUUUGUGUUUCCUAUUCUCUUUAUGGGCGGCCGAUUCAUUUUGCACUGUCACUAUUUCCAGUAUUGUGGGUUUACUGAUGUCUUAGUUUAAGAAAAAAAAAAAAGGACCCUAUUCCUACCCAAAGAUUUCAUUAGCUCCGCUGGCUGCUUUUAAAGACAGCAGCUCUCUCUCUCUCUCUCUCCUCUGGAUGAAUUUAUCCAAUCCCUUCAUCUUCUCACGCUUUAUUUCGAGGUUUUGCUGCAAAUCUGACAUCCCGGCCGGGUCGGCUGUUCUCAGCCCUCCAGCCUCCAUCUCUGCCCCAGUACCCAACUCCCAGCCCUACCAACAGCCCCGACUCGCCCUCCCAGAGCCGGGGGAUGGGUGAUCGCGGCCGUCUGUGCCCUCCCGGCCCCCCGCAGCCCGCAGGCUCCUGCUUGAGGAUUAUUCUGAUUCUUUUUCUUAUUGUUGUUAUUAGGAUGAAACGCGAGAUUCAAAUUGCUCCCUGUUUGUCUUCGCCACCAGCGUGUUUCAGAGCGAUUAUCUCAUAUCUUUCCCCCAGAAGUAAGCUAUCCCUCAGCCCUGGGUCAGGCAUUGAUCUCCCUGCAAUGUAACAAACGGCCGGGUUAAUUUUCCCUCAUUACCAUCUCCAUAGCUCAGCCUGCACACCCAGGACGGAGCCCUCCGCUCCGUGUGCGGCUCCGGGCGGCCCCGCACGGCCCCACGGCCAACCCCACGCACAGCCCCGGCUCCGGGACAUCCCCGCUCGAUGCAGCACUGCAGCUUCGCUGCCUUUCUGCUCGUCCCUCACCUCGCCUGACCUCCCCAUUUCUUUGUCCCAUUUGGGGCUUUUCUAUGGGGUUUGCUCGAUGAUUCUUAGUUUUUUAAACGUUGCUCCGUUCACUAUAAAUUACAAGGAUUUUUUUUUUUUUUUUCACCUCACCCCGUUUUACUUCUUAAUCUUUCUCUCUCUCUCUCUCUCUCUUUUUUUUUCCUGGAGCCUUUUCAUUCAGUGGCGGCCAAAGAAAAAGGGGGUUGGUCAACACCAAAAUGGCAAAGUUCAGCUCGGGGAAAAAGAAAAAAAAAAGAAAAAGAAAAAGAGAAAAAAAAAGAGAGAGAGAGAAAAAAAAGAGAAAGAAAAAGAACCCUCCAGCUACCUACAAAGGGGCUCAAGGCUUUGUAAUGGCAGAAAGAAACAAAAAUGAAAAGAAAAUUGCAGUUGAGGCUAAAGUGUGAGAGUGUGUUUGUGUGUAUGUAUAUCUGUGUGUAUUUUUAAAGGUUUCUUUGAACUGCCUUUGUGCUGAGUAGGCAGAGCUCCUUGCCAAUGCUAGUCACGGUUUAAGGAACUUUGAGUUAACCUCUUAUAUCGAAUGAAUCUUUUCAUUUGGAAACCAAUAAAUCUCAAUCUCUAGCCACCUUUUGUAGAGCAGGCUGGGGCUUACCAAGGCGAGGCUGAAGCUUAUAAUAAAGAAGAGAUAAAGUUUGCCAAAGUUUUUUUUUGUUUUGUUUUUUGUUUUUUGUUUUUUUUUCCCUUUUUCUCCCUUCUACUUCUCUUGUAAAUAAAAGUUUUGGAGAUGGCAGCAGUUGGAAGCAAUCCGGAGAAGGACUCGGAUCUGUGCAUUGUUUCACAGAGCAUCCAAAAGGAAAGAAAGUGAAGUGUGAAGCAAGAGGAGAGAAGAAUGUCCAUGCAUCGCUUUCCAGUCUGUCACGGUCAUGGAUUUAAUUGGGGAUAACUGCUUUGACCAGACAGAUGGAGCCAGCUCUGCUUUUACACGUUAAGUGUAGCUCUGGCCAAGAGAAGGGAGUAGAAGAUGAUCUCCUGGUUCCUCUGCAGAACUGGUUUCUCUUAGCUCCAUGCAUGACCAUCCAGAUGAAUGCAUCUUCCCAAGGCACCCAGUGUUGCCCUCUGCUCCAGUCUUACUCUGUGUGCCCCAUGAAACAUGGAGGAUGUAUUACUAUCAGUGGUAUCUUAAUCUCAUUUAAAAGUAAUGAGACAAAAGGUAGGUUUUCUAGCUGGAUUUUUCAUCCCUAAACUCAGGUUGCACUCUGUAGUGUCAUGGAACCAUUGAAUAUCCAAAGUUGGAGGAGUUCAUGAACGAUCCAUAAGGAUCAAUGGGUCUAACUGCUGUAGUGUUUACUCCAGUCUGGGUGUUCCUAUGCCCUUACAAGAGUUAUUCUUUGGGUCUACUUUGCUUCAUUCUGACUGGGACUUAAAGAGGGAACAAAAAGAAAGAGGUAAAUGAAUUUCUUCCUGGACUACUGUAGCAGAAAUGCUGAGUUGCGGCCUGAAGCAGUGAUUGAGCACCUGGUGGGAAGGCAGGGCCAACCAAGGUGAGCACAGGUGCAUGCAAUGCAAUGCAAUACAGCUGAGUGACUGGAAGGUGUGGAGCCAAGACCCAGCCCUUCCCAACUCUCAUUUAAGGGCUGGAAGUGGAGGUGAGAGUGUCCUGUUGGAGGCCCCUACAUAGCUGAGGUUUUCUGGAGCUGCUGCUAUUUUUCUCUUUGGCCACAGAACCAUCUGCUGGUGUCACCACUCCUGGCCUGCUGGAAGUGGCCUUGCAAAGCAUGAGGUCCCUCUUGGCUGAGGGCUGAAAUCUGCUGUUUGGGGUGAGAGGAAGGAGCUGGAGGGGACCCUCUGUCUACUGAGGUCACAGGCACAGCACUCACACCAGUCACAUGCCCCAAGCAGUACUUUAUUUUGUGCUGCCUGCCAGCCUCAAUUUCAACUUUUAACAAGAGUUAUGUUUGUUACAGAAAACCAUGGAGGACUGUGGAUCAGGGACUGCUAGCUUAUAUAGGAUAAGGAAAGCUUAUCUAACAGUUACUGUAAACAUCUCCCUGGUCUCUUCCAGAGUUUCUUCAUAUGUCGAUAGACAGGUUCUGAUACUGUUGUGUUGCUCAGGACUCUAAAAUCUCAGAUCCUUAAAUUCCGGUAAGAAAUCAUUGUAUCUGUCUCUUGCCUGUUUUCUGUCUUAGUGGUCUGAACUUGCAUCCUUCUCCCAAGCACAUGUGUACGUAUACACAGAACAGAAUGGGUUUAUCUGCCUUUCUGGGAAUCACAUCUGGGUAAAGCAGAAUCAGUCCCUUCCUACAGCCCUGGGGAACAGCUUUGGGGUGCUCUCCAUGAUUCUUCUCCAUGCUUCUCAGUCUGGGCUGCAGACCCAGCUGUUGAGUAGGGGCUGUUCCUCCUUAUCCCCAGCUCAGUGCAAACAACUCUAGUGAGCACAGAGAGACAAAUGGCAGAACACUUGCAAAUAUUUGAAGAGCUUUUACCCAUCAGAGUUCAGUGCUCUGGUUAGUCAUUAUUUCAUAGCAGGAGAAAUAGAGCCUCAGUGUUCCUCAAGUGAUAGACAUGAGGUGGCAAUCACAUCACGGGGGGUUCUGCUGAACUUCUGGUAUUAAGGUAGCUAAAGUGCUGUUCAGAUGUAAUCCAAUCAACAAGACCUGACUCCAGGCAAGCUGGCAAACUGAGCUGAUGAGCACCUAGUGCACUGCAUCUAUUCAAAAUGCUGGGAUGAAGGUCAAGGUGCUUCCUGACAUGUGAUUAUCAGUGGUCACUGAUGAUACGGAGGAGACUGGUGAGAAGGGGAGGGAGAUGAGAAUGGGCUCAUGGUGUGCUUGGGGCAGACAAAAGAAGAGUCAGAAAGAAACACUUAUAUUUUCUGGAGCAAAGAGAUUAAUUAGUGAGAAGAGCUGGUUUUGCAGCACAGAGCAGGUUUUCUUCACAAAUGGGCCUGAAUAGUACCAUUAUAGAGAUGAAGUCUCCACAGGCUUGUAUUUCUUCUCUUGGGAGACCAUGUUUUGUUAGGUGGUGAGGGAAGAGCGAUCCAAUCUCUUUAGUUCUACCAGUAAAUCUAUCCCCAAUAAAAACAAAUCUUAGUAAAUAGAAAAGCUUUUUCUUUCUUAGGUGCUUUUUUUGUGUGAUAACAUAUGCCUUGUUAAGAGGCAUCCACCCAACAUCACAGCAAGAGCUCAUUAAAGGCAAAAACACUUGAAGGAUAAAAAGGAUAAACUUCUUCUGGUGAAGAGAAUAAUGGGUCACUGUCAUCUUAUAACGCUGCUACAUACUUUAUAUUUGGUGUCCUUUUAACAUUAGAAAACAAUUUAUGUCAUAGAUUGACUGCUACGGUUAACUUACUUGCAUGGUCUUUAACUUAAGGUUUCCACUUCAGGAACACUCCUUACAGGUUAGGGCCAUUGGCCACCAGAGUGCUUUGAAGAGUGAGUACCCCAGGACUGGAGGAUAAAAGGCUGCUGUAGAAGAAGAGGUGGCUGAACAGAGGAUCCAAGCUGGUAUUGUUGCUGAAGAAACUGGGAUACAGUAAGGAGGAAUGGCAUGAAAGUAGAAUGCACACAAGCAUCUGGUAAGGGAGGUUAAGAAGUAUGACCUUACUGGAAGGUGGAAGAAAAAAGGAGUGGAGAAGACGUCUGGAAGAAGGGCACAAUGUGCUGAGAAAAGGGAUUUGUUGCUUGGGCUUGGUCUGGGUGACAGAUGGGAUGCUGCAGUGGGGAAGGAGACGCAGAAGGGAGAAGGGGCAGGCAGCAGAGUGAGCAACACUUUGGGUGGGCAGCAGAGAUGAGGUGACAGGCAGUACAGUUUGGGGUGGAGGGCUGCCAGCUCUCCUGGGUGGUGGGGUGGCAUUGUCAGUAGUGGGAUUGUCACCUGCCAUCCCUGACAAGGUGUGGGCAAUAUGGAGCAGAAAGAGCUCCUCCCUCACUGCUGACGUGGGAGGGGUGAUCUCAGUUAUGUUCUUUCACUGCAGUUCCUCAAAAUCCAGGGCCAUCUGGACACAGUCCUGUCCCUCACUCAAGCUGUUGCCCAGGGAUUGCUCUGGCAGCAGUGACUAGCUGGCAUGUCUAGGAGUCUCCAUGCUCAUGGCCAGGAGGGCAGAUGGCAUCGGAUUCACUACAGUGGCUUUGCAGCACCUGGUGCCACCAUUUGGGGGGGUGGGGUCCUGCAGAGCCAGGUGAGAUUUGCCCCAGGCACUGCAGUGUCAUUCAAUUGAGUGGCACAGUUGCUCUGCCAUGCUGACCCAGCAGGCUCCCAGACACCUCCAGUAUUGCUGGUGCAGAUAUCUGGGGAUUGGUACACUUCUUUCCAGUUGGCCUUGUAGUAUUGAGCCUCACCAAAGAGAUGCUUGAAGUGGUUAGUGAAGGAGAACAGUGGAGCUCAGCUGGCAUUUCAGCAACAUGUUUGUAGUGACAGAUGUCUUCAGCUCACUGCCCUUGGUGUUCUGGGUUGUUCAAUAAAUGGGUAUGAAGAAGAGUCUCUGAAAACAUUGGCUGCUCUGCUCACACACGCCUAAACAGCAUGGAUAGUUUUGUUCAAGCAAUGUUUUAGUAGUGCUUCAUCCCAGUAAUGAGGCAUUUUUAUAUAGCAUUUGUGAUAUGGAAUUUAUAAAAAAAAAUAAUAAUAAAAUGCUUUUGUGUAAGAAA